rnacentral:misc_RNA from 1 species
UCAAACUUGGUCAUUUAGAGGAAGUAAAAGUCGUAACAAGGUUUCCGUAGGUGAACCUGCGGAAGGAUCAUUAUCGAUUCACAGGUUUGGGGGAUGUGCUGGCGAAAGCAACGUGCACUCCUCCUUCCUUUAUCACUUUGCAUUUGACCCUGUGCACCUUUUGUAGGUGUGGAGUUCUCCAUUCCCACCUAUGCUUUUUUCUAUCGCACCCCCUGUUUUUUAUAAACCUUUUGAUAUUGAAUACAUGACCCAUGACAACUUUCAACAAUGGAUCUCUUGGCUCUCGCAUCGAUGAAGAACGCAGC